rnacentral:lncRNA from 1 species
UAAGCCAUCUGAAUGCUGCCUGAAAGAGUAUUCAGUCAUAAAGUUGUAUUCUUUGCUAAUUCAGACAGCACCCUUUCAGUUGGUAUUGGUGACGCUGGUGUAGUUGAGCUGGGAUCUUGUGGAAGGAGGAAAACAGGAAAAAGCUUCUGAUGAAUAUUACCCGGAGAAACGGUCGUGGUAGGUGAAUGGACUUGGGGGUCAGAAGCAGGUGAAGGUAAAGAUGCAUUUAAAAGAUGGAUUAUGAGAGUGAGGAUAGUAUAGAUCAGAGGAAUUGAUGAUGACUGUGGUAUUUGUUAUGCCCUUACUAGGUGCCAUGCGCUGGUAUAUAUACAAAAUCAUGUGGGACACAGUCCCAGUUCCAGUCAGAAGGAAACCAGGUAUUAAAUCUUCAUUUUACUAAUGAGCAAACUGAGCCACAGACAAAUGAAGUGACUUGCCCAAGGUCACACAGGAGGCAAGUGGCAGUCAGGAUUGGAACCCUGGUCCUCCAGCUCCCUGCUUUCAACAAACUACUUAAAGGACUGAUGACAAGAAGGAUCAAGGUUAUUUCCAGAGAGUUCCACGAGCUGGAUUGUGGGCCAUCUGUUUGACAUCGCUGACUUGGAGCAUGAGGAUCAGGAAAAACGAUAUUAGACCAAGCGUCAAGCACUAACAAACCACAAUGACUGAAGAUGCAGCCAGAAUUAAGAUUGGAGAAUGAAGUAAAGUGAAGGGAUGAAAAGAGAAGUUCUAUUUGUCUCAACACAAAGCAGAUUGGGGAGGAGUAAUUCCAAGAAGAGAUUAGCUACGCAUAAAUUAAGAUGCCACAAGAGGGCACUGCCUUAUUCAACAAGGAAGAACUUGAGGCCAGAAAGAAAGAUUGGAGAGACAAAGCCAAAGAAGGUAUGAAGCUGGUAUUUGGCUGGACAUUACAUGCGCAAAUU